rnacentral:rRNA from 1 species
GAUGAACGCUGGCGGCGUGCCUAAUACAUGCAAGUCGAGCGAACAGACGAGGAUCUUGCUCCUCUGACGUUAGCGGCGGACGGGUGAGUAACACGUGGAUAACCUACCUAUAAUACUGGUAUAACUUCGGGAAACCGGAGCUAAUACCGGAUAAUAUAUUGAACCGCAUGGGUCAAUAGUGAAAGACGGUUUUGCUGUCACUUAUAGAUGGAUCCCCGCCGCAUUAGCUAGUUGGGAAGGUAACGGCUUACCAAGGCAACGAUGCGUAGCCGACCUGAGAGGGUGAUCGGCCACACUGGAACUGAGACACGGUCCAGACUCCUACGGGAGGCAGCAGUAGGGAAUCUUCCGCAAUGGGCGAAAGCCUGACGGAGCAACGCCGAGUGAGUGAUGAAGGUCUUCGGAUCGUAAAACUCUGUUAUUAGGGAAGAACAAAUGUGUAAGUAACUAUGCACGUCUUGACGGUACCUAAUCAGAAAGCCACGGCUAACUACGUG